GGAGAAGAGGGUAGGCAAGGUUUGGAGAUGUGGCUUUGGUCAUUAGUCACCAGCCUGAGCAGCACAUCAGUGCUUUCAAGUUAAAGGUAGGAAAUGGAAGAUAAUGUAUCCUGUUGAAUCUAUAGGGAUAAUUAAGAGAUAAUUAAAAAUAUAAUGACCCAAAUUGGGACUGAGGAAACACGUUGGCAUUAACCUCCUUGCCUGGAGAGAAGGUGCCGGGAGAGCUCGCGGUCAGGUUCGCCACUUAUUUAAGACUCCACCUCCACUUGUUCCUAACCCACUGAGAAAUCGGCUCAUUAUUGACUCAGAGGGAUGAGCACCAGGUCCUGACUCACCCAUAACUACUUCCGCAGAAAUCCUCCAGCCCUGUUAGAAAUGCCUCAGCCAAGGGGACUCAUCUCCUCAAACCUGGGGGACCAAGACCUAUGAGAGGUCACAGCCUGAGGUGAUGGAAGCGCCAUGUGCACAAGGUUGAUUUGGUGGCUCUAAUCCUUAUAAUAUAAAAGCUUGCUUCUUAGCAUAGUUCUUGCAGUGUUAAUUUUAGAGACAUAUAACGGAGAGGAGUAGGGAAAUGAAGACCUGUCUGGUCCUCCCCCACUUCCCUAAUCCAUCUGUCUCCCUUGCUAUGUCUCUAAACUUUCUCCAGCCAGGACAUCAGAGGUACCCAGACACUGUUAUGAAACUCCACAUGUGUCCCUGGUGGACGCUGCUGGACCCAGCACGCACACCUCUCUGCUGAGAGUCACCCUGGAUGAACCACCGUUGGCCAGCGGGGAGCAUGUUGCAGCUUUCCCACGCAGUGGAUGAGAACCAAGGUUACGACCAUUGUGUGGGAGGCGUCUGUGUAGCAAUUGCUGGAAUCACUUGUGGCAAAGACAGUGUGGGAAAGAAGACGCAUUCUGAAGUCACCCCUAUUUGUGUUAAAUGAUCACUUUAACUACUGCUACAGAAGGAAUGUUUAUGUCCCCCACCCAAAUUCAUAUGCUAAGACCUAAUAGCCAAUAAGAUAGUAUGAAUAGAUGGGGCCUUUGGGAGGUGAGUGGCUCAUGAGGGCAGAGCCCUCAAAAUCACGUAAGUGCCCUAAUAAAAGGGGCCCCAGAGAGAUCCCUUGAACUGUCCACCAUGUGAAGUGGAGAACACAGCGAGAAGGCCACCUGCAAGUCAGAACGUGGGCCCUCGUCAGAACCCAAUUGUGCUGGCACCCUGAUCCUGGACUUCCAGUCUCCAGAAUGACGACAAAUCAGUUUGUUUUUCCUGAGCCAUCCACUUCAAAGUAUUGUAUCAUAGCUCUCCAAAUAGACUAAGACAUCUACUUAACCUUGGUCAAAUGUUUAACCUUGGAGUCCACACCUGUGAAAUGGUGACGGUAACACUGUGUAUUUCCUACAUUAUGAUCAGCAUUAAUAAAUGUAAUUAAUUAAUCAGAAAUUAGUAAUUUCUCAUUAUU